GCGCCGAUGGUGUAAUGGUUAGCAUUAAUGCCUUCCAACCUCGUAAUUCUAAUUGCGAUUUUCGACAGCAUUAGAUUCGGGUUCGAUUCCCGAUCGGCGCA
rfam:Diplodia corticola strain CBS 112549 scaffold8, whole genome shotgun sequence.